rnacentral:lncRNA from 1 species
CAAGACUAUUAUAGAAAGUCACUUAUUUUAUUAUAAGAGUUUUACAUCAGAGUGCGGACAGACCAUGCACUCAACAUCCUUCUAAAGAUCUACGAAUGGGUCUAAAUGCACCUCAAUAAGUAACUCAUCAAGCUGGUCGUUGCUUUCAACAUCAACUGAGGGGACAUAGAUUAAGAUGAAUUCCAAAUACUCAGUAAAAAAA